UGUUGACAUGUUCGUUCCGGCAUUGUAGUUUUGUCUAUACAGUCCUGUUUACUAUGUGCUGUGGUCCGUUAUCAAAUGCACCAAUGCGUUUAUAGAAAAUCAAAACAACUACAAGGCACCGAGAAAAUAUAAUUCACAAGUUUGAACAAACAAAGAAAGAUCCGCUCGAGUUUGAUGGAGUCGGUAACAUGGAGCAAUAUUAGGCUGACAAGGAUAAAUCUUGCAGCCUGGCGAAUAUGCAGUCUGCGUCUCAAUACACAUCCCAAUCAACAUUUGGGCACAGAGGGCCUGAAGAGACAAGUCUUCAGGGAGACAUCUCACUCGCCCAGAAACAGCCCAAGACUCCAGACCUCUCCUUCUGUUAAGCAUGGACUACCCGGAUGUCCACUUCCACUGGGGGCUGCAGUGAGACAAAGCUACUGGGAUCUCCUAUAGGACCUACGGUCUUCUGACAGACACCUGCUACAGUACCAGGGAGAACCAUGGCACCACGGUCCUCUACCUCUAUUCAUCUAGAUUCUACACUACAGUGUGGUUCAUGCUCAUACUGCAGUGGAACAUGAUGCCCAGUAAUACUGAAUGACUAAUCUAAUCAUAUUGAAAAUAGUUUGUUUCAGUUCAAGUUUCAUUCUACUGUACCAGUGUUCAUUAUAUGCAGUUGCUAAAAUGUAUAUGGUUUGUCUUGACAAGAUGCAAGCAUUGAUUAUUACAUUGUUAUUCACAAAGAUGAUUCUUGUCUCAAUAAAUAAAAUGUCCAUAAAACAUGUUGGGAUUAAAAAGGUUUAAAC
ensembl:lncRNA